UUAUGCAAAGUGGAAGCGGGAUUCCAACAGAGAAUUCUACAUGGAAGAAGAGAUGACGGCUUGCACAUGGCAAGGAGAACGGCAACAAAGUCGAUCAGUUUGUUUUGCCUCCCAUCACUGGACAUGCUGACCAACACUGGAACCCUUCUGGAGCUGGUCCAGUAAGAGUGGACAGGAUUAUCAGUUCUGCUGACCACAAGAUUCUGGUGCACUGUCAUGACGGUGCCGGAGCAAGUGGUGUGUUCUGUAGCGUCCUGAACAUCAUCACUGCCAGGCUGAAGUUGGA